rnacentral:rRNA from 1 species
CAGGGAUUGCCCUAGUAACGGCGAGUGAAGCGGCAACAGCUCAAAUUUGAAAGCUGGCUUAGGCCCGCAUUGUAAUUUGCAGAGGAUGCUUUUGGUGAGGUGCCUUCCGAGUUCCCUGGAACGGGACGCCAUAGAGGGUGAGAGCCCCGUAUGGAUGGACACCAAACCUGUGUAAAGCUCCUUCAACGAGUCGAGUAGUUUGGGAAUGCUGCUCAAAAUGGGAGGUAAAUCUCUUCUAAAGCUAAAUACCGGCCAGAGACCGAUAGCGCACAAGUAGAGUGAUCGAAAGAUGAAAAGCACCUUGAAAAGGGGGUUAAACAGUACGUGAAAUUGUUGAAAGGGAAGCGCUUGUGACCAGACUUGCGCCGGGCAGCUCAUCAGGGGUUCUCCCCUGUGCACUCUGCCCGGCUCAGGCCAGCAUCGGUUCUCGUGGGAGGAUAAGAACAGUAGGAAUGUGGCCCCCUCUCGGGGGGGUGUUAUAGCCUAUUGUACGAUACUCUCGUGGGGACCGAGGUUCGCGCUCCGCAAGGAUGCUGGCGUAAUGGUCAUCAGCGACCCGUCUUGAAACACGGACCAAGGAGUCGUCCAUUAGAGCGAGCGUUUGGGUGUAAAACCCGCACGCGUAAUGAAAGUGAACGCAGGUGAGAGCUUCGGCGCAUCAUCGACCGAUCCUGAUGUCUUCGGAUGGAUUUGAGUAAGAGUUUUAACGGACGGACCCGAAAGACAGUGAACUAUGCUUGUAUAGGGUGAAGCCAGAGGAAACUCUGGUGGAGGCUCGCAGCGGUUCUGACGUGCAAAUCGAUCGUCAAAUAUGAGCAUGGGGGCGAAAGACUAAUCGAACUGUCUAGUAGCUGGUUACCGCCGAGUCCCCCC